rnacentral:rRNA from 1 species
UAGGGAAUCUUCCACAAUGGACGCAAGUCUGAUGGAGCAACGCCGCGUGAGUGAAGAAGGUUUUCGGACCGUAAAGCUCUGUUGUUGGUGAAGAAGGAUAGAGGUAGUAACUGGCCUUUAUUUGACGGUAAUCAACCAGAAAGUCACGGCUAACUACGUGCCAGCAGCCGCGGUAAUACGUAGGUGGCAAGCGUUGUCCGGAUUUAUUGGGCGUAAAGCGAGCGCAGGCGGAAGAAUAAGUCUGAUGUGAAAGCCCUCGGCUUAACCGAGGAAUUGCAUCGGAAACUGUUUUUCUUGAGUGCAGAAGAGGAGAGUAGAACUCCAUGUGUAGCGGUGGAACGCGUAGAUAUAUGGAAGAAUACCAGUGGCGAAGGCGGCUCUCUGGUCUGCAACUGACGCUGAGGCUCGAAAGCAUGGGUAGCGAACAGGAUUAGAUACCCUUGGUAGUCCAUGCCG